AUAGGAGCAGGGAGGUUCUACUGCAGUUGUACAGGAUGUUGGUGAAGCCAAAUUUAGAGGAUUGUGUUGAGUUCUGGGCACGAUGUUAUUGGAAUGAUGUUGUCAAGCUG